ACGAACGCUGGCGGCGUGCUUAACACAUGCAAGUCGAGCGGUAAGGCCCUUUCGGGGGUACACGAGCGGCGAACGGGUGAGUAACACGUGGGUGACCUGCCCUCAGCUCUGGGAUAAGCCUGGGAAACCGGGUCUAAUACCGGAUAUGACUCCAUGACGCAUGUUGUGGGGUGGAAAGCCUUGUGCGGCUGAGGAUGGGCCCGCGGCCUAUCAGCUUGUUGGUGGGGUGAUGGCCUACCAAGGCGACGACGGGUAGCCGGCCUGAGAGGGCGACCGGCCACACUGGGACUGAGACACGGCCCAGACUCCUACGGGAGGCAGCAGGUGGGGAAUCUUGCGCAA
rnacentral:rRNA from 1 species